rnacentral:misc_RNA from 1 species
AAACACUUUCCCGGUUUCUACUGACUCUGCUAAAAAGCUCUGAUUUAGGGUUUCUACCCCUUUUUUUUAUUUAUUUAUUUUUCUACCUUCUUUACCAUAAUCGAUCCACUCAACCAAAUGAUCUGAUUUUUGCAAUUUCUUCGAUCUCCAUAACCUUUUAGCUUACUUGAUUUCUAGUUAAAAUCUUACAUGGGUUCAACAUCCUCAGUUUGACCAGGUGACCUGGCAUGCUGCAUUGCUGUGAGCAAGUUUUGGGUGUGUAUAGUUUAGUGCUGUUGGGUUUUGUUUUGUAAAACUCAAUGGUGCCAGAAGGCUAGUGGAACUAUGGGCUCUUUUUGGACUGUUACUCAACUUAAGGGUUCACUGUGGCAACGAUUUUUAUUACUCAUUAUUUGGCUAUCCAUUUUCCGAGAUGUUGUGGCGAUGCAGACUCUGCUUGAACCUAACCACAUUUCUUCCACAUCUGAGCUAGCGACUCCACCUAUUUCUGGGCUUUUUAAUCCCAUAGAAAUAUCACCUGCUGUCUUCCCACAUUACCCCUAUCCUAGUGAAUCUUUGCCACCUAUGUACCCAACUUUUCCCACCACAUAUGAACCAAAUUUAACUGGGAAAUGCCCUGUAAAUUUCUCUGCCAUGUCAAAUCUCAUGGAUAAGACAGCAUCUGAUUGCUCUGUACCUUUAGCAGCUCUUGUGGGAAAUGUAAUAUGUUGUCCACAGCUUGGCAGUUUACUCCACAUCUUCCAGGGUUAUUACAGCAUCAACUCUGAUAAGUUGGUUUUGGAGAAUUCAGUAGCUAAUGAUUGUUUUUCAGAUAUCAUUAGUAUCUUAGCCAGCAGAGGGGCCAAUACCACAAUACCUGCACUUUGUUCUGUAAAAUCAUCAAAUCUUACUGGUGGGUCUUGUCCAGUAAAGGAUGUUAUUAGCUUUGAGAAAAUAGUUAACACAAGCAAGUUGCUGGAAGCCUGUAGUGCUGUUGAUCCUCUUAAAGAAUGUUGUAGACCAAUUUGCCAACCUGCAGUUAUGGAAGCUGUUCUUCACAUUUCUGGAACACAGUUAACAAUCAAUGACAAUAAAGAAUUAGUGAGCAAUUCUAAUCAUAUUGAUGUUCUUAACGAUUGCAAAGGUGUGGUAUAUGCAUAUCUCUCUAAGAAACUCUCAGCAGAUGCUGCAAAUGCUGCAUUCCGAAUAUUAUCAGCCUGCAAAGUUAACAAGGUUUGCCCAUUGAAUUUCACGCAGCCAUCAGAGGUAAUUAAAGCAUGUCGCAAUGUAGCUGCUCCCAGUCCUUCCUGCUGUAGUUCACUGAAUACUUAUAUUGCUGGAAUACAAAAGCAAAUGCUAAUUACAAACAAGCAAGCCAUAAUCUGCGCAACAGUUUUUGGGGCUAUUCUUCGAAAAGGCGGGGUCAUGACAAAUGUAUAUGAGCUUUGUGACAUUGACCUGAAAGAUUUUAGCAUCCAAGCAUAUGGACAACAAGGGUGUCUACUCCGAAGCUUGCCUGCAGAUGUUGUAUUUGACAAUUCAACGGGGUUCAGCUUUACAUGUGACCUGAUUGACAACAUUGCAGCCCCAUGGCCAACAUCAUCCUCCAUGUCAUCCUUGUCUCUUUGCGCUCCAGAGAUGUCCUUGCCUGCCUUGCCGACAUCAGAGACUUUAAAAAAUCCUGGUGUGCCCUGUUGCCCCCUACUUUUUGUAGCUUCUUGUUACUGUCAGCUUUAGUUGCAUGAUUUUUAUUCGCAUUUACGAAGUAUAAUUGCAUCUUAAUAAACUAAUGAAUCAUCCAAUCAAAAUAUGGCACUUCCCUGAUUCAAUUGAAACCUAAAUUUUUAUGAUAUAUUUCAAUAAUUUUGUGGAAGUCCAAAUUUCUUAGCCAAGAGCUUAUACUUGUCUAAAAGCUGCUGCUUCUGUGUUUUUUUUCCCCCCCUUGACUCCUAACAUUUUUAUGUGACCUGAUAAUGCAGGCAACCGUGGUGGUGGGUUGGAGUUUGUGGUUCCCAUUUUUUCAUUUUUUAUUUUCAGUACAUUGUUGUACUGAAAAAAUUAAUUGAGGGAUGAACCAGUUUGGAAUAGGUGCUUCUGGAAAUAGACCUUGUCUGGGAAUUUUACAUGUAUAUUUUGGGUAGCUUCCAUGUAUAGCAGUUUCUUCUUUCCGUUUUUCCUCAUCUUUUUUUGAGCUAUUUUGUCCCUGCCUUUCUGUCUCUCCCCCCUUUUCUUCUCUCUAUAAUCUUGGCUGGUUUUGUUUUGAAACUUUGGAAAGACUUCUAUUUCUGAGGAAUUUUGUGUGGAUGUUUGGUUUGAUUUAUUCAAGUUUGAGUUUUUUAGGUUCUUUUUGAGGGGAGGAGAGGUUGGUUAUAAUCAGUUGCUUGGGGAACAGACAUAAUCAGGUGGACCCGCCCCAAUCAUAGCACCCAUUGGUGGUGUGGGUACUCCUAACAAUAGUUUGUUAAAAAGGCAUAUCUGACUUGACCAUAAGAACCAAGUGAUGAGUGCUUGAGUGGAGCAUUGGCCUUAGAAGAGAAGUUUGAUGAGGACAUCCUUCUUAUUCCAAUUAAUGACAAUUUUUUUCUAUUUAAAGAGAGAAAGAGAGGAUUUCAUCAUUAAGGGGUAAUGGAGCAAGAAAGUAUAAUGAUUCAGAUGUUCAGUUGUAGAGUUCCAAGUAAUAUUGUUCAUCAUUGUGUCAUUUUCACUCAUCAUAUCUAUUUUAG